rnacentral:rRNA from 1 species
GAUUUGUCUGGUUAAUUCCGAUAACGAACGAGACCUUAACCUGCUAACUAGUCUAUCACAUUUCAUGUGAUCUGACUUCUUAGAGGGACUAUGUAUAUUAAUUACAUGGAAGUUUGAGGCAAUAACAGGUCUGUGAUGCCCUUAUAUGUCCUGGGCUGCACGCGUGCUACACUGAUACAUACAUUAAGUGCCUAUCCCGCUAGGGCAUGGCAAUCUCGAAUAUGUAUCGUGAUGGGGAUAGAUCUUUGCAAUUAUAGAUCUUGAACGAGGAAUUCCUAGUAAGUGCAAGUCAUCAUCUUGCAUUGAUUAUGUCCCUGCCCUUUGUACACACCGCCCGUCGCUCCUACCGAUACCGGGUGGUCCGGUGAACCUUUUGGACUGCGCAAGUGGAAAGAUAAGUAAACCAUAUCACCUAGAGGAAGGAGAAGUCGUAACAAGGUUUCCGUAGGUGAACCUGCRGAAGGAUCA